AUUGAACGCUGGCGGCUGGCCUAACACAUGCAAGUCGAGCGGCAGCGGGAAGUAGCUUGCUACUUUGCCGGCGAGCGGCGGACGGGUGAGUAAUGCCUGGGGAUCUGCCCAAUCGAGGGGGAUAACUACUGGAAACGGUAGCUAAUACCGCAUACGCCCUACGGGGGAAAGCAGGGGACCUUUUGGCCUUGCGCGAUUGGAUGAACCCAGGUGGGAUUAGCUUGUUGGUGAGGUAACGGCUCACCAAGGCGACGAUCCCUAGCUGGCCGGAGAGGAUGAUCAGCCACAAUGGAACUGAGACACGGUCCAGACUCCUACGGGAGGCAGCAGUGGGGAAUAUUGCACAAUGGGGGAAACCCUGAUGCAGCCAUGCCGCGUGGGUGAAGAAGGCCUUCGGGUUGUAAAGCACUUUCAGCGAGGAGGAAGGGGAGUGAGCUAAUACCUCGCUUCAUUGACGUUACUCGCAGAAGAAGCACCGGCUAACUCCGUGCCAGCAGCCGCCGUAAAAC
rnacentral:rRNA from 1 species